CUACCGCGCGUUGAACAAGGGAACAGCACAGUUUGACAGUGUGGCCAGCAGUGUGGACAGCACAGCAGAGGAAAUGUUCAGGAAUGGUCUUGACCCGGUUUUAGAUUGGCCUUCACCUGAUAUUUACUGGCCAGAGGAGGACUGCGACCUACAGCAGAGAAAGAGAUCCCGUCUGUCUUCCACAUGUUCUCCUGCUGGAGGAGAUGGCAGGGAGAGUGAAAAUGAUGGUGUUUCAACAGAAAGGUGGCACAGCUUAGAUGAAACCGAUGUUGAACCGCUUCAGCUCGACUUCACACCUGUCCAAGAACCUGGACCAAAGUCUUUACCAAGUAAUUGUAGCAGUCCUCUACAGUUUUUUCAGCUGUUCUUUACAAAAACUACAAUCCAGUCUAUUGUAGAGCACACAAAUGUUUAUGGGAGCAAGUGCAAGGAUGUGGGAAAUCCUUGGCUCUACCUUUCUGUGAAAGACUUGAAGUCGUACAUAGGACUAGUGAUUUACACAGGUCUGUUGAAGUGCUCUUUACUGACAGAAUAUUGGAGGAAGUCCCAGUACUUCAGUCCAUCCUUUCCUGCACAAGUCAUGUCUUAUCAAAAAUUUGUGACUAUUGCCAAUACUCUUCAUUUUAGCAAUACCAUCGAAGAUGAGAAAAAUUACUUGAAGGGAACUGGAGCCUAUGAACGGUUAGGUAAUAUUCAGCCUCUAUAUCAACUCAUUCGAGAAGCCAGUAAGACCUAUUUUCAUCCCUUCCAGAACAUCACCAUUCAUGAAAGAAUUUUGGCAGCACAGCCUCUAUCUGUAGACAAAUCUACGGAUAGAGGACACAAACUCUUUGCUCUGACAGA